GGGAAAAAAAAAAACAAGAUAGAGCUCCAUUUUAUGAUGACUAUGACUCGAAAUCUGAAUAAUUUGAGCUGAAAUUGCGAAUAGGGGGCAAGGGUACUUCAACCAAUCCUUCUAACAUUUGCAGAUCCAUCUUCAUUGAAGGUUGCAGAUCCAUCUUCAUUGAAGGCCUUUUCGAGGGAUCCUCUUGAAUACACCAGAUUGCUAUGCUUACCCAUCUGCUCACCCUAUCCUUAUCAGCCGCAGCUUCCUCAUCAAAUUCAACCACAUCAUCUGACCUUCCUUCCACAAAACAAUCAUAAACCCAGUCUGUUAGUAUCUCUUCAUGUUCGAGUUUCGAUACAUUCUUUCUGCAGCAGAUAAUCUCUAACAACAUAACAUCAAAACUGUAAACGUCCACUUUAGCUGUAAUAGCUACAUUUCUGAACCAUUCAGGAGCCACGUAUCCUCUUGUUCCUCUGAUAUUGGUCAAAGUUCGACUCUGACCACACAGUAACAAUUUCACUAAUCCAAAAUCACAAAUUCUUGCAGUGAAGAGUUCAUCUAGGAGUAUAUUUUCAGGCUUUAUAUCGCAAUGAAUGAUCGGAACUUCACAUUCUUCGUGUAAAUACACAAGCCCUCUUGCAAUCUCCAAGGCAAUUUUAGCCCUUAUAUUCCAGCCAGGCUUUGGAAUCCCAAGAAGAAAAUUUGCUAAUGUACCAUUAGUCAUAAACUCGUAAACCAGAAGGCGAUGAGCUCCCUCUUCACAGAAACCCAGCAGCCAGACAAGAUUCUUGUGGCAUGUCUUCCCAAUUGCUUUCAAUUCAUUUCUGAAUUCCUUGUCAGCCUCUUGGGACAACUUAUCCAACUUCUUCACCGCAACUGCAUUAUGUGGAGCAAAUUUUAGGUUGCCUUUGUAGACGAUUGCAGAAGAACCUCUGCCGACUUGUUCUUUGAAGUUAUUGGUUGCAACCUCAAGUUCCCUGUAAGUGAACACAUGCAGAUUUGUUUCCAGAAGAGUUGAAACUUCACUGACUCUGUCCGAUUUCCAUUUUUGUUUGAAGAAGAGAAUUAGAGGAACUAUGAUUAGAAGAAAUGCAUUGAGGGCAAGGGAGCCACUAAGUGAUCCUAAGAGGAUCGAUUUAUCCUUCUUGUCUAUGCUGCUGGCAGGACCAGGGUAAUUCGAAGGAACCGCGCCCUUUCUAACUUUGAUUAGAGCUUUUGUACCUUCUUUUUCGAGUCUUCCAUUACCAAGAGGUAUCCUUUUCUUCCAAAAAAUUGGGUCACCAAGAAGAGACAUUAUGGCAACAUCGCACAUACAAUCUUGCAAACAAGAAGUUCUGCUCUCAUAUUCACUAUAAGGCUUCAGGCUUUCAUAAUCUCCCAGCGGCCAAUUCACACUUCUAAGCUCCCGUAUCUCAUAUAAUUCUUCCAGGUUCUCUGAUGCAUUAUCAACUCCACAACCCAGAGGAAAAUAUGGUUUGCACCCUCCAAAUGGAUUAUUUCUAUCCAUGGGUUAAUAUCCAACUGGGCACGUACAAUUAGGCCUGCCAUUUGACAUGCUGCAGUAGCUAUUAUACCCACAUGCACCACUACCAAAAUCAUGGAAUAUGGCAUGACAAAUGUCUUCAGGGAUGUAUUGCACGAUUGACCAGCUUUGCUCACCGUUGGAGCCCUUGGGAUAGGAAUACUGUGUUAAGACUCCAGUAUAAUCCAUUGUUGCUCGAUAGUAGUUUCCAGCCACACUAGGUGCUG
rnacentral:misc_RNA from 1 species